AAAAUUUAUCAUCAAAACCCAACAAAACAAAAAAACCUAAAAUUAACAAAUUUAAACCCAUAAAUUCAAACACCAAAUAACAAAUUAAAUAUUUACCAAGCUUCCUCCAACAUCAACAAAUAAAAGCUUCACCAAAAAAUAUCAAAAAAAUAUCUUCUUCGUCAUCCAAAAUUAACACAAAUUUAAAUCAAAAAAUUGUAACAAUUUCUCGUCGCCAUCAAAAUCUACCGGAAAUCAAGCUUCACCAACAACAUCAGUAAGCAAUUAAGUGGUGGGAAUUUGAAGUCAAUCAAGGAACCGUCACCCAUGAUCCCAAUAAAAGAAUCAACACUGAGAAAAUCAAAGGCAAACCAAAUUCAUCAAAACCACAACAACCCACCAACAUCAUUAUUCUUUUUUUAGAUUUCUUUCUAUUCUCUCUCACGCACAAAAAAAAUUCAAUUUGGUUUUUAUUCUUGCUCUUCUCUUGUUCAU
rnacentral:lncRNA from 1 species